rnacentral:lncRNA from 1 species
CGUAAGUUUCAAAUCAGUAAGUAUUCAGCAUGGAAUACAAAGGAGGUAAUCACCCUCAUCAACAAAUCAACCCUAGUUUUUUUUCUUUCCAGUAAGUUUUUUCUUUCCGUUUUUUCAUUGAGGGGUUGUUUUGGAUCAAAUUUUAACGUGAAAUUAUCCAUCUUCAUCUUUUUCUCUCUAAUUCAAUCUAAAUAAGUGUUUUUCACGUAGAUCUAGGUUUUUUCUUCGUGAUUUCGUCGUCUGAGUGUGGUGGUGUGUUGGUGUUGUUUGAUUUUCCGUCUUGUUGCGGUGUUCAUUUGUAGACAUUAUGUCGUUAUAUACUAUUAACUUGGAUGGUGUGAGUUAAUUAGCAGAUUCAUUAUUUAUGUUUUUAGCGGUGUUGAAUGAUGUACUCUAUCAAUUUGGAUGAAUAAAUGAAUAUUGUUUUAUUUUUG